rnacentral:rRNA from 1 species
GAUGAACGGCUGGCGGCGUGCCUAAUACAUGCAAGUCGGACGGAUGUAGCAAUACAUUAGUGGCGAACGGGUGAGUAACACGUAAGGUGACCUGCCCUAAAGAGGGGAAUACCACUUCGAAAGGAGUGACAAAACCGACAUAAACUUAUAGAGAUCAGAAGGCUAUAAGGAAAAGAGCGAUCUACUUUAGGAGGGGCCUGCGGCCCAUCAGCUAGUUGGUAGAGGUAACGGCCUACCAAGGCGAAGACGGGUAGGGGACCUGAGAGGGUGAUCCCCCACAAUGGAACUGAAACACGGUCCAUACACCUGCGGGUGGCAGCAGUAGGGAAUAUUGCUUAAUGGGCGAAAGCCUGAAGCAGCAACGCCGCGUGGACGAAGAAGGCCUUCGGGUUGUAAAGUUCUUUUAUAUGGGAUGAGGAAGGACAGUACCAUAUGAAUAAGUCUCGGCUAACUACGUG